rnacentral:piRNA from 1 species
UGAAAGUGCUUAGAACUGUGUCUGGUA